rfam:Aedes albopictus isolate Foshan contig35587, whole genome shotgun sequence.
UAGCCUAGUGGUAAGGCUUUGAAUCGCCAAUCCAGAGACGGCGGGUUCGAUUCCCGU